CUUCCUGCCUUCCUUCCCUCCUUCCCUCCCUCCAUCUUUUUAAUGAUCCGGCCCACAUGAGAUCAAAUUGGUCUGUAUGUGGCCCUCGAAUGAGGACGCAAACGGGACUUAUGAAACAUUUACCUUUUUAUUCAUCAACAGGAAAUGGGACAAACAGGAAAUGGGACAAACAGGAAAUGGGACAAACAGGAAAUGGGACAAACUGACAGAAAAAGCAAAAAACAUACAGAGUCCGACAUGACGGUGUGAAUCCUCUCUCCACUAAUAUGUAAACUCACACGUAUGUUACACAGAGUCACGUUGGUUUAAUGUUCUGUUGUGCACUGAUGUCACAUGAGUUAUAUAAAACGUUAAAAAUGGAUUGAAAUAAAAACACGUUUGGCAAAGACACGUCACAUUUUCUGAUAAAUGUUUGUUUGUCAAAGCUCAAAGUUUCAGUUUCUGUAUUUUAUUUAUUGUUAGUGAGAAAAUAGAUGGAUGGAAGAAAGGGAGGAAGAACAGAUGGAAGGAAGGAAGAAAUGGAGGAAGGAAGGAAGAAAGAAAUGGAGGAAGGACAGAUGGAAGGAAGGACAGAAGGAAGAAAGGGAGGAAGGACAGAUGGAAGGAAGGACAGAAGGAAGAAAGAAAGGAAGGAAGGACUUCAGCUCUGAGUGGCGUCCAGGUCCGGUGUGUCCAUCGUGUCUCUGAUCCAGCUCAGGAAGUUGCCCAGCCGGGUGUAGACGCCGUACUUCCCCAUGGCGGCACA